AGUUAUAAGAAAUGAUUUUAAUUGCAUAUGGUUGCUCAUAAUAUUCUGCUCAUGCAUAGAGUCAUUUAUCAUUUCACCGAGUCUCGGGCCGGGUAAUGUUCGUGCGGAGUUUCUUGCAUAUGUCACCGAGUCCCUCACUAGAGGGCCGGGUAUGUAUAUUAUAUAUAUGAUUGGUGAUGAGGAUGGUUAUGAUGAUGAUGAUGACGGAGAUGACGUGAUGAUUAUUUUGCCGAGCCCCUUACUAGGGAAGCUGGGCACCUUAAAUGUUAAAUAUAUGCAUGAUUUUCACUUAAAAAGUAUAUGUGUAGCGAUAUUUUGUUUCGACUUGCCACAUUGGUAUCCUGUCAUCUUUACCUUAUGCUUUACAUACUCAGUACAUUGUCCGUACUGACCCCCCUUUCCUCGGGGGCUGCGUUUCAUGCCCGCAGGUGUAGACGCGCAGUUCGGUGAUCCUCCCGCCUAGGAUAUCUACUCUGCUGAUUGGGAGAGCUCCAAUGUUCCGGAGCCCAGUCGUUUUGGUACAUAACUUUUGUGUAGUCUUUUGCUCGUCUAGGGUAUGGCGGGGCCCUGUCCCGUCGAGUUUCACUAAUGUACUCUUAGAGGUCUGUGGACAUUAUGUGGGUUGUAUAUAUAUGUUUUGGAUAAUGGUCUGGACAUGGUUUGUUUGGGAUGUCCGCUUGUACAGGGGCAGCCUUGUCGGCUGCGUACAUCAUUAUGCUUUGAAUAGUGGCGGCCUUGUCGGCUCGCGUAUGCUGUUAUGGUUGAAUGGUUAUGACUCCUUAUGAGACAUGUCCUCUUAUAUAUAUAUAUGACGUUGGGGUUGGCUUGAUUUGAUUAAAUUCCAUAUUGUCUUAGUUUCAGUUGGUCAUACUUAGCAGGUUUGUAUGUGGGUGUCCAAAACGGGCACUAAUCACAGCCUAUCGGGUUGGGUCGUGACAAAGAGUGGUAUCAGAGCGGUUCUUCCUCGAAAGUGCCUACAGACCGUGUCUAGUAGAGUCUUGUUUAUCGGUGUGUUGUGCACCACAUCUAUAAACAGGAAGCUACAGGACAUUUAGGAUGUCAUUCUUUCUUCUUAUUCUAGAUCGUGCGAUAGAGCUAUAUUAACAGGAUAAUCCCUCUCUAACGAAUACAUGUGUUUUCAGCUAUGCCUCCAAAGAAAGCGGCAACCGCCCAGAAGGGAAAAUCGGUAGUAGAAGGUACUAGUCAGACCCGAAGAGUUACUAGGGCCCGUGCCCAGUCUAUGCCUAGUAUUAUGCUCCAGUCGGAGAGCUCUGCUACACCCCCACCGCCAGAAGAGCUUAGAGCAGCAGCAGCUCCAGUUCGGGGGACACCACCAGCCCCCGAGGCCCCAACAUCUGAACCUCCAGCUCCUCAGUCAGGGACGGAGGAUAGGGCCAUGAGAGAUGCGGUUCGAUUGCUGAUUAGAUUAGUGGCAGAUCAGGCUCGCAGGCAUGGACUAGGAGUUGAUCAUGCGGACAGAUCUGAUAGCUUAAGGGCUCGUGACUUCUUAAGUUGUAAUCCUCCAGAGUUCUUUGGGUCAAGGCCACAGGAUGAUCCGCAAGAGUUUAUUCGUCAGAUGCAGCGUACAUUGAGGAUAAUCAAGGCUUCGGAGACCGAGUCUGUUGAGUUGGCUACGUAUCGUUUGCGGGAUGUAGCUAUUAAUUGGUAUGAGUCUUGGGAGUUAUCUAGGGGUGAGGGUGCCCCUCCAGCGGUAUGGGAUGAAUUUGUGGAGGCUUUCCAGGGCCACUUCCUGCCUCCAGAGAUGAAGCGAGCUAGAGUCGAUAAAUUCUUGCGUUUGAAGCAAAAUGCAGGAGCGUUCGAGAGUAUAGCCUCGAGUUUGAUUCAUUGGCUAGGCAUGCGCCUACUAUUGUGGCUGAUAUGGCAGACAGGGUACAUCGUUAUGUGAUGGGAUUGGAUCGUUAUCUGAUUGACGGUUGUAUGGCAGUGACUCUUCAGCCAGGUAUGGACAUUGCUCGGGUGCAGGCAUAUGCACAGGGGGUAGAGGAUCGGCACCGAGGACGUCAGCCAGAUAGAGAUUAUAAUAGAGGCCAGCAUAAGAGGGCUAGAUCAGCAGGUUAUCCUGACGAGUUUCAAAGCGGGCAGUCUCAGCAGCAUGUUAGAUUUUCUUCCCAGCCAGCACAGAGUGCACCCCCACGUUUCAUGGGUAGGGGGUUCGAUCGUAUGGGAUAUUCGGAACCUGGUCAGAGCUCUAGGGCGUCAGGGUCACAGAUGGGCAGGGGUUUGAGCCAGUCGAGGCCACCUUUGCCUCGGUGUUCUCGUUGUGGUAAGUCCCAUCCUGGGGAAUGUCGUUGGGCUACAGGUGCGUGUUUUUCUUGCGGCCGUCAGGGCCAUACUAUGAGGGAGUGUCACCUUAGAGGUAGUGCAGGUGGUAUGGCACAGCCUAGAGGGUCCGUUACUGGUUCAUCUUCUUCUGUGGCUAUGCGCCCUACGGGGCAGGGUAUUCAGGCACCAGCAGGCCGUGGUAGAGGACGUGGUGGAGCUUCUAGUUCUAGCGGUCCCUCAAACCGUAUAUAUGCUUUGACUAAUAGGCAAGAUCAAGAGGCGUCACCUAAUGUGAUCACAGGUAUAUUAUCACUAUUCUCCCGAAGUGUGUAUGCAUUGAUAGACCCAGGUUCCACCUUAUCAUAUAUAUCUCCCUUUGUUGCUAGUAGGAUCGGAAUAGAGUCUGAGUUGAUAGAACCAUUUGAGGUAGCUACACCUGUAGGAGAUUUUGUCAUAGCUACGCGAGUAUAUAGGAAUUGUUCAGUAGCUAUAUAUAGUCGUCAUACCGUAGCAGAUCUAAUAGAGUUAAAUAUGAUUGAGUUUGAUAUUAUCAUGGGCAUGGAUUGGUUGGCUGCUUGUUAUGCUAAUGUUGAUUGCAGAGAAAAGAUAGUUCGAUUUCAAUUUCCAGGGGAACCGAUUAUAGAGUGGAAGGGAAGUACAGUAUCGCCGAAAAGUAAGUUCAUUUCAUACCUCAAGGCCGGGAAGAUGGUUAGAAAAGGCUAUAUUUACCAUCUGAUUCGGGUGUAUGACAUAAAGGCAGAGGCACCGACUCUUCAAUUAGUCCCGGUAGUUAAUGAAUUUCCUGAUGUAUUCCCCGAGGAACUUCCAGGCCUUCCUCCAGAACGGGAGAUAGAGUUUACUAUAGAUGUACUGCCAGAUACCCAGCCUAUAUCUAUACCUCCUUAUAGAAUGGCACCUGCUGAGUUGAAAGAAUUGAAAGAGCAAUUGAGGGAUUUGCUAGAAAAGGGCUUCAUCAGGCCUAGUACGUCACCUUGAGGAGCACCAGUACUGUUUGUGAGGAAGAAGGAUGGGUCGCUGCGGAUGUGCAUUGAUUAUAGGCAGUUGAACAAAGUAACAAUAAAGAACAGGUAUCCCCUCCCAAGGAUUGACGAUCUAUUUGACCAGUUGCAGGGUGCAAAGUGUUUUUCAAAGAUAGACUUGCGGUCAGGUUAUCAUCAGGUGCGGGUAAGGGAGGAAGAUAUUCCAAAGACAGCAUUCCGAACCCGAUAUGGACAUUAUGAUUUUAGAGUGCUGUCUUUUGGGCUGACUAAUGCUCCAGCGGUAUUCAUGGAUUUAAUGAAUCGAGUAUUUAAACCAUUCCUUGAUAUGUUUGUUAUUGUAUUUAUAGACGAUAUUCUGGUCUAUUCACGUUCAGAAGAGGAGCAUGCAGAUCAUUUAAGGACGGUACUUAGGGUGCUUCAGCACCAGAAGUUGUAUGCUAAAUUUUCUAAGUGCGAGUUCUGGUUGACUUCAGUGGCAUUCUUGGGGCAUAUUAUUGGAGCUGAUGGUAUUCGGGUAGAUACGCAGAAGAUUGAGGCAGUAAAGACUUGGCCCAGACCUACGACACCUACUGAGGUACGCAGCUUUUUGGGGUUAGCAGGAUAUUACAGGAGAUUCGUAGAAAAGUUUGCCUCAAUUUCAGUGCCUUUGACAAGGCUAACUCAAAAGGCAGCCAAGUUCCAGUGGACAGAUGCUUGUGAGCGAAGCUUCCAGCUAUUGAAAGACAAAUUGACUACAGCUCCAGUCCUAACUCUUCCAGAGGGACCAGACGGCUAUGUUAUUUAUUGUGAUGCUUCGGGUGUUGGGCUAGGAUGUGUAUUGAUGCAGCAUGGCAAAGUUAUAGCCUAUGCCUCCCGACAACUUAGGAAGCAUGAAAAGAACUAUCCUACUCACGAUCUGGAGUUAGCGGUCGUGGUUCAUGCCUUGAAGAUAUGGAGACAUUAUUUAUAUGGUGUCCAUGUGGACAUCUAUACAGAUCAUAAGAGUCUCCAAUAUAUCUUUAAACAGAAGGAGCUGAACUUACGACAGAGGCGGUGGUUAGAGUUGCUAAAGGAUUAUGAUGUUGAUAUUUUAUAUCAUCCAGGGAAAGCGAAUGUUGUAGCAGAUGCUCUUAGCCGUAAGUCCAUGGGUAGCUUGACAGAUGUACAACCAGAAAGGAGGGAUAUGGUUCGGGAGAUUCAGCGGCUAUCCAGCCUUGGAGUCCGUCUAGCUAAUUCGGAAGAUAGUGGAGUUUCUAUUCGAGAGGUUGCUGAGUCCUCAAUCAUAGAUGAGGUAAAGCGACACCAAUACAAGGACCCUAUUCUGGAACAGUAUAGAGAUGCAGCUCUUCAAAAGGAAAAGACCCCAUUUAAGGUUACACCUGAUGGAGUGUUACAAUAUGAAGGCAGAUUGUGUGUACCCGAUACUGCGGGGCUACGACGGCAAGUUAUGGGAGAGGCACACUCUGCCCGUUAUUCUAUUCACCCAGGGUCAACAAAAAUGUAUCAUGACCUCAGAUGCUUAUAUUGGUGGGAUGGCAUGAAAAAGGACAUAGCAGAGUUUGUUGCUCAGUGCCCAAAUUGUCAACAAGUUAAGAUCGAACAUCAAAAGCCUGGUGGAUUAUUACAGGAGAUAGAGAUCCCGACUUGGAAAUGGGAAAUGAUUAAUAUGGACUUCAUUACAGGCUUACCUCGCACUCAACGGAAGUAUGACUCUAUAUGAGUUAUUGUAGAUAGGCUGACGAAAUCGGCCCAUUUUCUUCCAGUCAGGACUACUUAUUCGGCUGAAGAUUAUGCGAGGUUAUAUGUCAGGGAGAUAGUGAGACUUCAUGGGGUUCCCACGUCCAUUAUAUCAGACAGAGGAGCUCAAUUUACAGCCAACUUUUGGAGAUCGUUUCAGAAGGGAUUGGGGACACAGGUGAACCUUAGCACAGCAUUUCACCCUCAGACUGAUGGGCAGGCUGAGCGUACUAUUCAGACACUAGAAGAUAUGUUGCGGGCCUGUAUUAUUGACUUCAAAGGAAGCUGGGAUGACCACUUGCCGCUCAUUGAGUUUGCCUAUAAUAAUAGCUACCAUUCUAGUAUCCAGAUGGCACCGUACGAGGCCUUAUAUGGGAGGAAGUGCAGAUCACCUAUUGGUGGUUUGAUGUUGGCGAGACUAAGUUAAUAGGCCCGGAUGUGAUUCAGCAAGCUGUUGACAAGGUGAAGCUUAUUCAAGAAAGAUUAUUAGCAGCCCAGAGUCGACAGAAGUCAUAUGAAGAUAAUCGGCGUCGAGAUUUGGAGUUUCAGAUUGGUGACUGGGUAUUCCUGAAGGUAUCACCCAUGAGGGGUGUGAUGAGAUUCGGCAGGAAGGGGAAGCUCAGUCCGAGAUACAUUGGGCCUUAUCAGAUUGUUCGUAGGAUAGGCAAGGUUUCCUAUGAGUUGGAUCUACCAUCUGAUUUGGAGGCGGUACAUCCAGUCUUCCAUGUAUCGAUGCUACGUAAAUGUAUUGGUGAUCCUUCUAGAGUAUUCCCUGUAGAUGAUAUUCAGGUAACAGAGGAGUUGUCAUAUGAGGAGAAACCCGUGGCUAUACUUGAUCGUCAGGUUAGAAGGUUACGUACUAAGGAUGUGGCUUCCGUCAAAGUGUUGUGGCAAAAUAACAAUAGGGAGGAGAUGACUUGGGAAGCGGAAGACGAAAUGAAAAAUAAGUAUCCUUACUUGUUCCCCGUACCUGCAGGUAAUUCAAUUCCUAGCUUGACUAUAUUGAUAGAUAAUGAGAUUAUGUAGCUGUGAGGCAUCUGUAAGUUACGGAAUGCAGGUUGAUAGGUAUAACUUUUAGAGAGACCUCGCUGGAAUUUGUUUUUGCAAGACGCUAACUUAACAUUCGAGGACGAAUGUUCCUAAGGGGGGAAGGAUGUUAUGCCUCGUAUUUUUUUAUACGUAGUGCGCAUCGUGAUCUAGAAGACGUAAAGAAAUAUUAGGCAAGGAUGUUAUUUCCAAAUGUGAUAUUAAGUAUGAGUUGGUUAAUGUAAGUGCCAUUAACUUUAAGUGAGGGAUUAAUUAGUGGCUAAUUUGGAUUGAUUUAAUCCAAUGGGCCCCACCACUCAAGGCAAAAAUUAAAAAGGGAUCAGAUUGUGGGCUGGCCUUAGUGGACAGGUGUAGAGGGGGGCUGCCUCCACUUCAUACUAUUAAAUGAGGUGGAGAAAUCCACUCCAUGCUAUAUAAAGUGGUGAAAUGCAUUGCUGCAUAUCAUCUUCUUCUUCACCACUUGUCUUAGGCAGCCAUGGAAAUGGAGAAACCAACCCUGCAACUCUUGGCCAGCAGCUGCAAAUAAUUUGGUUAGUAAUCUCCUUGUUUGGUGUGUUAAUUCUUUAGAAUACCCUUGUUAAUUAUCCAUUAAUUUUAAGAAGGGGGCGUGACCAGUAGCUUAGGAAGUUUGUUUUAGUUAUUGAAUGUGCUAAGUAUGAAUGGAAACCAUAAUCGGAUUAUUAGUGGUGUCAUGUUGGUGCUUGGGCUGUUUAUAUGAUUCUUUGGGUUAUAUGUGUUAUUGGUAUUGCUGUGGAUAAUUUGGAUUGUUGUCAGAUUGGGACGAAGUAAGGAAAAUAGGGGAGGUGCUGCCGAAUUUUCGUUAGAUUAUUAGCUAGCUUACAAGAAAGUAAAGCACGAUGUUUAUCUAAUUGCGGCACGAUUGUUGCUUGUUAUAGAUUAAUAGCUUGAGCAGUAAAUAUUGGACGUGCGGCUCAAUUAUACGGUAUGUAACGCUGUCCCUUCUUUCUUUGCUUGGCAUGACUUUUAAAAAUAAGCGAAUAACGGACAGAUUUGAUACUUACCUCUAAAGCGUCUAGGUGAUGUAUAUUCUUGCUUCCAUAAUUAUUCCUCUAUAUAUCGGUUAUGUCUAAGGCUAUGAUGAUCUCUAAUAUCUAUGGUAAUGCUUCUUAGAGUCAUUGAAAUUUUACGUUUUCAUAUCGUAUUAAAGGUUCAUAAUCUUGAUAAAACAUUAAUCUUUGGUAAUACUCCUUGCUGGUUCACGUUGAUUGUUCUAUUGAGUUAUAAGAAAUGAUUUUAAUUGCAUAUGGUUGCUCAUAAUAUUCUGCUCGUGCAUAGAGUCAUUUAUCAUUUCACCGAGUCCCGGGCCGGGUAAUGUUCGUGCGGAGUUUCUUGCAUAUGUCACCGAGUCCCUCACUAGAGGGCCGGGUAUGUAUAUUAUAUAUAUGAUUGGUGAUGAGGAUGGUUAUGAUGAUGAUGAUGACGGAGAUGACGUGAUGAUUAUUUUGCCGAGCCCCUUACUAGGGAAGCUGGGCACCUUAAAUGUUAAAUAUAUGCAUGAUUUUCACUUAAAAAGUAUAUGUGUAGCGAUAUUUUGUUUCGACUUGCCACAUUGGUAUCCUGUCAUCUUUACCUUAUGCUUUACAUACUCAGUACAUUGUCCGUACUGACCCCCCUUUCCUCGGGGGGCUGCGUUUCAUGCCCGCAGGUGUAGACGCGCAGUUCGGUGAUCCUCCCGCCUAGGAUAUCUACUCUGCUGAUUGGGAGAGCUCCACUGUUCCCGAGCCCAGUCGUUUUGGUACAUAACUUUUGUGUAGUCUUUUGCUCGUCUAUGGGUAUGGUGGGGCCCUGUCCCGUCGAGUUUCACUAAUGUACUCUUAGAGGUCUGUGGACAUUAUGUGGGUUGUAUAUAUAUGUUUUGGAUAAUGGUCUGGACAUGGUUUGUUUGGGAUGUCCGCUUGUACAGGGGUAGCCUUGUCGGCUGCGUACAUCAUUAUGCUUUGAAUAGUGGCGGCCUUGUCGGCUCGCGUAUGCUGUUAUGGUUGAAUGGUUAUGACUCCUUAUGAGACAGGUCCUCUUAUAUAUAUAUAUGACGUUGGGGUUGGCUUGAUUUGAUUAAAUUCCAUAUUGUCUUAGUUUCAGUUGGUCAUACUUAGCAGGUUUGUAUGUGGGUGUCCAAAACGGGCACUAAUCACGGCCUAUCGGGUUGGGUCGUGACAAUAAGACCUUAGAAUCAUGAACAAAAUUUAGAUAUACUCGAACGAAAAUUUUGAAAUUUGCUCACCCAAACCCGAGAGCUCCUUGUCAAACACAUAGUUUAUUUUUCAAUACUUUUCUUCUUCUUAUUGUGUAGUUCAAUAAUAUCCUUUAAUCCUAUUUUUUACAUACAAAUGCAAUGAUUCAUUUUAAUCUCAUACCUUCAAUGAAUAAAAUAAGUAAUCGAAAAGACUAGAGAAAUGAUUUGGCUACCAUUACUACAAUUUAUUCUUUCAAUUCUUGUUAAAUUGUGCAUGAAAUCUUUAUAAGCCAAUCUGUGUUGGCUAGGCAACUUAUUUCGUCCUUUUGAUAUUAGGGAGAUUAUGGGAUUGAUCAUCCAUAUUUUUUUACUGCCCUUUAUUAGAAUAAUAAAGAAGUUUGUAUAAACCAAUUUUUUAUUUAGCUAUUAUGCCCAUUAUUUGAUCAUUUGUAUAACGAGAAUAUAUUGCAGCAUAUAUCUUUAUUUGGCACAAGACAACCACUUGAUUAAACUUUAUUCUUAUCAACCAUUGAUGAUUUGAUAUACUUAAGCUCUUACUUUCUUAGAUCACUUUGAACUUACAUUGCUUCUUCUUUUUUCUUACAUUCUUAAAGAAAUCUUUAGCAUUAACAUCAUAUGAGUCAAUCUGAAAUCUAGUGUCUUCCCCACACCAAAAAGGGGUGGUUUACCGAUCAAAGUGAACCUAUAUCAUGUAAGGUAUAUAUGAAAUCCAGCGUCUACCCCACACUGAAAAGCGGUGGUUCACUGGCUAAAGUGAAACAAAGUACAGUGUAUUUCCCACACCGAAAAGUGGUGGUUCAAGCCUAAUGUGAAAAUAAUUCAUUCUUUGAGCAUUUAAGAGACAUACAUCAUGUAUGCUAUGCGUGAAAUCCGGUGUCUACCCUACACCGAAAAGGGGUGGUUUCAUCGACCAAAGUUAACCAGCAUCAUACCUAGCUCUUUUAGGUGGAAUCCACUAGCUAAUUCCUAUGCUGAGAACAUAGUUCGAACAAUAGGUGACAUAUGGAGACUACUUAUCCACGUUGGUGGUAGCCUCAUAUCAUGAGGAUUACAUGUGCUGGCACAACCUCCUUCAAAGUCUAUCAUUGCUUUGCUCAACUUCUUUUUAUCUACAUCUUUUAUAGUUGACUCAAACAUUAUCGAAGCUUGCUUCUAGUUAUUAGCUUUACUUAACUCUUAGGAUAACCGUUCAUCCCUUUCUUUACUUGAUGAAAUGUGAAUUUAACCUUACAUUAUGAUCUUCGUGUUAAGGAGACCCGUCUCAUGAUUAUUAACACGCUUUUAUGUUAGUAUCUCUAGCAUAGUGGUCUAGGUGUGAGUGAGACUUGUAUAACUUUUUUUAACACCUCAUUCUUGUAAAUUUCAUAAUUAUUGAACUUUUAAUUAUGUUAUUACUCACCUUAUCUUGUACAUUAUAAACUUUGUUCAAUGUACUUACUUAUAUUCAUAGUUCAUUUUGAAAGGGUAUGUUUGGACUUGUCCCAAUGAUUGGCGUACCCUUUGUUAUGAAUUCAAAGUAACAUUGGUCAUGAUUAAUUUGGUUUAAAUUAGUCAUUAUCCAUUUAAUCAUAAUGUCUUUUAAAUAACUUUGUAAGCCAAUUUUAUUCACUUUUGGGACAAUGUGUUAUUAGCUAAUUUAUCGGUACAAUCAAAACUUUCAUGUAAAAAAAUUUCAUUAUGUUAUCACUAGCAACAUUAAUUAAUCCCAUGAAUGUAUUAUAGUUAUACCCUCAACAUAAUAAAGUCUAAUUUAACAGAAGCUAAAUUCAUAAUAAAUAUCUAAGAAACUUCAUAUUCUCAAACACAAUUAAGCAUUACAUCUUACUUUAUUUCUUAUAACUAAAACCCUAAUUAUAUGAAUAAAGUAUAUAGGCCUCAUUAGUCAUUAACAAAUCAAGAACCUACAAAAAAUGAUCAGUUAGCACCACAUACCAACAACAUGUUCUAGAUUAUAUCUAUAUACUUAUAGAAGCGAACACAAGGAUAACUAGGGAGAUGGACGUUCAACAAUAUCAUUGGGAACAUACCUGGUUUCGACAUUAAUGAAUUCAAAACGUUUCAAAGGCCUCUUGGAGAAAGAUUCCCAGGAGAAAAAACCCAUACCUUAUGUAGAAUUGAAACUAAAAAGAUCACCUUGCACGAAAACCAUGAAGAAAACCUUAAAAUCCCCUAAGAGAACUUUUCUAUUUUUCUAUGUUUUGCGCACUGUUUAUUCUCACAAUUGCGUACAAUUUUGAGUCGGGAAUUUUUUUAAUGUUUUUACACGAGUAGAAGUUUUAGAAUCUGAUAUUCACUAAUUCAAUUUAGGGUGAUUAAGUUAAUUAUAUAAAUAAUUUAGUUAAUUACAAAAAUGCCCCUACUAGAUUGACUAAAAAUAGGAUAGCAUUUAACUUAGUCAAACCUGAAAUUUUUCGUAAGAGUUUUGGCCUUUCUUGUGAAUUUUCCUUAAUUAUUUAAUUCCUAAAUUUAAUUAAUUAAGGGACAAGGAGUGAUUUUUAAUGCACCCGAAAAUUAAUUUGGACCAUAACUAACCAUUUUGACGAUCCUAAGUUAGGUAGUAAGAUGUUACUAGGUUAGUGUAACCCAAUUAAGUUUUAGGUUGUCGGGUGCACUAGAUAGUUUAUUUUUGUUUUUUCUAGUUUAUUUAGAUAAUUAGGUCAGUUAGUUAGAGUCUAGUGUUUUUUAGAUAGUUAGGCCCUACAUGGGUGGACCCUUGCGCAUGCUUGUCCCCUAACUACCCUAAGCUAAUUCCGUUAGGGUUGUCCCCUCCCUUUUAUGGCUUUAAACACGUGUUGCUUGUAAUUUACCAACUAAAUAUUCUUGAUUGUUCAUUUGGAAUGUUUACUUUUUUCCUAAGAAUCCUCACUAUGUCCUUAGGCAAUACUUAAUCUACAUGUCCAUUUUAAUUGGUCAUGUGCUAUGGUGCCGAGGCUUGACGCAUUGUUGCCUCACACCUAAUGUACAAAUGCUAGAAAAUAUAUUUUUUUGGCUUAGGUUCAUAAUUGUUGGUACAUUUCAUGGACAAGCUUGUUAAUACAUUUAAAAUUGGCUAACACCUUUAAAGUCAAUAUUUUGUAAUAUGCCCAAUAUUUCAAAAUGAUUGGCAUUGGGAUGCAUAUUUAACCCCAAUACCUAUUCUUAAAACAUAAUAGUCUCUUAACUAAGACAGUACAUUUUCUUGAAUGUUACAACAAGAUCAUCACAUAAUCACAAUUAACAAUAAUUAAAGUAAAGAGUUCAGAUCACAAGACUUAUCAAGUCUCCUUCAUCAUCUAUCAUCAUGGUCUUACCAUCAACCCUUUAAAUGAACCCAUUAUGGGUGUAAUAUCUUCACACAACAAUAACCAACAUGAUAAAAAGGACAAUUGAGUUACUACAUCAUAUUCCAUCACUAGUUCGUUGCUUAAGAUAAGAGACUUAGGUCAAAUUCAUAAUCUAUUUCGCAACAUAGUUCAAUUACUCAAGAACUAUCAUUAUAGGACUAAAAUUCAUUUUAAAAUAUUCAUAGUUAUUACAAUGACAUUAUAGGAUUGUAACUCAAUAAAUAACAAGUCCAUUGAACCAAUACUACGCAAAUUACAUCAAGAUCACAACCUAGGGUUAAGGAGGAAAGGUCAUCUUCUAGAAACUAGACUAAUACAUAAUUGAGUAGUGUAACAUAGUCAUAAAUAAUCAUUAUAAUCAAUACAAACCAAAGAAAAUAUAAACAAAUCAGAUUGAAACAUUAAUUUCAAGAUUGGAAUAAACCCGAAGUAGCAAUGGUUAGAGGAAUCCCAUACAUUAAUGUUUGGUGAAUGUUUAUGGAUAAACAUUUGUGAUUUCAGCCCUAAAACCCACCUUGACCUUGUCUUCUAUUGUGUUCUUCAACUUGGGAGAGAGAAAGUAGGGAGAAGGAAGAGAGUUUGGGUUUGGCAAUUAUGAGGGCUUAGGUCAGUUUUAUUAAGUUAGGGUCUUUAUAUAGGUUGUUAAUUAACUUAAUUAUACCUCCCAUAAGCCCUAAUUUACCUUAUAACUAAGCCAAAUAAUUAAAUUAAUUAAAUAAAAACGUGUAGCAAAAUAGUGGCUCUAAAGACGAGACCACGAUCGAUGGAUCGUGGGUCCAUCGACGGGCACUGUUCAUCUCCGUGUUACCCACUUGUUGAUAAGUUCAUAGACUGUCCAUUUGCAGACAUCAAAAAAUUUGUUUUAAGUGUCUAUCAACGGAAGCUGUCCACGCCCCGUCGAUUGGUAAUGGAUUGUGGGUUGCAUCUGUUGGUGGACAAUGCCUUGGUGAAACCAUUGACACCAAAAUGAAAGGGUCCUCCUCAAGGUCCCUUGCUUGGUCCUUAGAUAGUUGUACCCAGACGUUUCAUCAACGAAUCAUCUCGAAUACAUGUUAGACACCCUUCCACCAAUUUUCAUCAUUUUCUAGAUCAUAAAAUUUAGUAAAAUAGGCUAAGGCACACUAGAACUCCAUUGAACUAGCUUCAGGACGUCGGUUUCACAUCCGGGUUUGCCCCCUAAAUGUAAUCGCUGUCAUUGUCCUCUUUGAGGACUAAAACUAGACUCUUAGUUUACAUCAUUAAAUUCAUAGGUCAAAUUAUGCAAAAAAAAUUAAACUUUUCAUUAGUUCUACUUGGAGGUUUACAUAGACCUCUACUUACACAUAAUAUAUAUAUAUAUAUAUAUAUAUAUAUAUAUAUAGUAUAGAUAGACCUUUCGUAUCGGAAGAUUACUUACACUUCUACUUUUUUUGCACAUAAGUAUCUAAAAUAUAACAAAGACAUAAUAGUAAUAAUAGUUGUAUAAUCUCAUAACCAUCAAAUAAGGUUGUAAGAACUUGGGCAUAACCCAUACAUCAAGUAAAAUUGCCUCUAUAUAAUGUUUCAUACUAAAUGAAUAUAAAGAACCAUAGAAGUCUUUAACUAAAGUAACUCCAUAAGCUAGAUAGUGACAUCGCCUUCACAAAUUGAGGACCUACUCUACAUGGAUGAAUACGAGAUCCAGGCAUUCCUCAAGUCGUCUUCGAAACACCUUAAAGAGCGGAACCUAAAGUGUUGGGGAAAAGGAAUAAAUGGGGUUAGUACACCACUUAUACAAAGUAGGAGACCAUAUUCACACAUACUUUGAAGACAUUCAACGAAAAGGGACAUUUCAUAAAGUAUGCAUUUUUCAUUAAAAAACAUUAAGCAUAUUCAACAACACCAUACCAAUCAUUAAUGCAUGUUCAUUAAGCCAUGGGCAUUUACAUAACAAAAACAACAAAAUAAAAUCAAGUCUAGUCCAUAUACUUAUCAUAUGAUUUAAUACCUAUCAAAGUAACUCUAUCAUGAAAUCAUAUCACAACAAGCAUGCAGAGGAGUAGAUUUCAAUAUAAAAAAAGCAAGACCAAUACACAUGAACCAUUAUAAGGUCAACAAGUUCAAUUUACCUUUUGGGAACAUCUUUCCCUGGGAUACAUAGACAACAUGAACUAAUGUGGAAUGUGGUGUAAUAAAAAUCAAUAAAGAAGGAAGGUGGACUACAUGCCAAGGUAGUAUCAAAACAUGAAACAUAGCAACUACGUGGAUAUCCUAGCUAGUAUUCCUAUGGGGGCAACAUAGUUCAAAAACUAGGAGAUAUUAAGUGGACCCUCUUUAUGAUACAUGCAUUGUGGUCUACAAUCUAAAGAGUACUUUGGUGAUCCUACCUUACUUAUGUAGGAAAGGAUAAUCCUCACUCUAGUUCACUCGGUGCUGAGCUAGAGUCCAUUUUUGAAAAGUCUUUAAGCCUUUAUGAUCAUUCAUAGCUUAGUUUAGGUCACAGGUCUACCCAUUGUAUAAUCAUCAUCAUCAAUAGCUAAAUAAGAAUUGCAUGAGUAUGAAUCCUUUGAUUACAAUAGUUAUAGGUGAAGUUAGCACAUUAAAAUCUUCACCAUCCUUAAAACUUUUAAAUCUUAAAACCAUAUCACACCAUAAUAAUCAAAAUAUUUCAAUUCAACAUCAUACCACCCUAUCAAUCCUAGUUCAAGGCAUGCUCCAAAAAAUUAUUAUGACUUAAUAAUAAUUACCAACAAUUUGAAGCAAAGGAUAGAGAUCAUAAGACUUACCAAGUCUCAUUCAUAAUUCAAUAUCAAGGUCUUACCAUCAACCCUCUAUUUAACCCAAUUUGGGUAUAAAUCAUUAUAUGUAAAUAAUCAACAUGGUAAAAACGCAAAAAGAAUCACUACAUCAAAAUUCAAUACUAGAUCAUAGCUUAAGACAUAAUACUUAGGUCAAUUCACCACUCACUUUAUAAUCUAGAUCAUCUUCUCAAGAACUAGCAUGAACAUUUACCAAUCAUCCUAAUUUUGUUCAUGAUUAGUGUACCAACAUCAAAUAGCAAUAAUUCAACAAAAUAACCAAGUAAACGUAAAAAAAAUCCCUAAUUCAAAUCUAGAUCAAACCUAGUGUCACGACCCAACCCGAUAGGCCGUGAUUAGUGCCCGUUUUGGACACCCACAUACAAACCUGCUAAGUAUGACCAACUGAAACUAAGACAAUAUGGAAUUUAAUCAAAUCAAGCCAACCCCAACGUCAUAUAUAUAUAUAAGAGGACCUGUCUCAUAAGGAGUCAUAACCAUUCAACCAUAACAGCAUACGCGAGCCGACAAGGCCGCCACUAUUCAAAGCAUAAUGAUGUACACAGCCGACAAGGCUGCCCCUGUACAAGCGGACAUCCCAAACAAACCAUGUCCAGACCAUUAUCCAAAACAUAUAUAUACAACCCACAUAAUGUCCACAGACCUCUAAGGGUACAUUAGUGAAACUCGACGGGACAGGGCCCCGCCAUACCCAUAGACGAGCAAAAGACUACACAAAAGUUAUGUACCAAAACGAAUGGGCUCCGGAACAGUGGAGCUCUCCCAAUCAGCAGAGUAGAUAUCCUAGGCGGGAGGAUCACCGAACUGCGCGUCUACACCUGCGGGCAUGAAACGCAGCCCCCCGAGGAAAGGGGGGUCAGUACGGACAAUGUACUGAGUAUGUAAAGCAUAAGGUAAAGAUGACAGGAUACCAAUGUGGCAACUCGAAACAAAAUAUCGCUACACAUAUACUUUUUAAGUGAAAAUCAUGCAUAUAUUUAACAUUUAAGGUGCCCAGCUUCCCUAGUAAGGGGCUUGGCAAAAUAAUCAUCACGUCAUCUCUGUCAUCAUCAUCAUCAUAACCAUCCUCAUCACCAAUCAUAUAUAUAAUAUACAUACCCGGCCCUCUAGUGAGGAACUCGGUGACAUAUGCAAGAAACUCCGCACGAAUAUUACCCGGCCCGGGACUCGGUGAAAUGAUAAAUGACUCUAUGCACGAGCAGAAUAUUAUGAGCAACCAUAUGCAAUUAAAAUCAUUCUUAUAACUCAAUAGAACAAUCAACGUGAACCAGCAAGGAGUAUUACCAAAGAUUAAUGUUUUAUCAAGAUUAUGAACCUUUAAUACGAUAUGAAAACGUAAAAUUUCAAUGACUCUAAGAAGCAUUACCAUAGAUAUUAGAGAUCAUCAUAGCCUUAGACAUAACCGAUAUAUAGAGGAAUAAUUGUGGAAGCAAGAAUAUACAUCACCUAGACGCUUUAGAGGUAAGUAUCAAAUCUGUCCGUUAUUCGCUUAUUUUUAAAAGUCAUGCCAAGCAAAGAAAGAAGGGACAACGUUACAUACCGUAUAAUCGAGCCGCACGUCCAAUAUUUACUGCUCAAGCUAUUAAUCUAUAACAAGCAACAAUCGUGCCGCAAUUAGAUAAACAUCGUGCUUUACUUUCUUGUAAGCUAGCUAAUAAUCUAACGAAAAUUCGGCAGCACCUCCCCUAUUUUCCUUACUUCGUCCCAAUCCGACAACAAUCCAAAUUAUCCACAACAAUACCAAUAACACAUAUAACCCAAAGAAUCAUAUUAAACAGCCCCCUCCCCAAAACAGUUCCAUCUCGGCAACUAUAUCAGCGAAGCAACGACACACCGAGUGAUAACUCGUUUUAUAGUUCGUAACACAUCUACCUUAUCGUAUUCAUCCUUUGGAGUAUAUACUCAUAAUCACAUUCAACAUAUACAUAAUGCCAAAACAGAAUUUUCCUGCAGUUUGCUUUAAUCAAAACAGCCCAAGCACCAACACGACACCACUAAUAAUCCGAUUAUGGUUUCCAUUCAUACUUAGUACAUUCAAUAACUAAAACAAACUUCCUAAGCUACUGGUCACGCCCCCUUCUUAAAAUUAAUGGAUAAUUAACAAGGGUAUUCUAAAGAAUUAACACACCAAACAAGGAGAUUACUAACCAAAUUAUUUGCAGCUGCUGGCCAAGAGUUGCAGGGUUGGUUUCUCCAUUUCCAUGGCUGCCUAAGACAAGUGGUGAAGAAGAAGAUGAUAUGCAGCAAUGCAUUUCACCACUUUAUAUAGCAUGGAGUGGAUUUCUCCACCUCAUUUAAUAGUAUGAAGUGGAGGCAGCCCCCCUCUACACCUGUCCACUAAGGCCAGCCCACAAUCUGAUCCCUUUUUAAUUUUUUUGCCUUGAGUGGUGGGGCCCAUUGAAUUAAAUCAGUCCAAAUUAGCCACUAAUUAAUCCCUCACUUAAAUUUAAUGGCACUUACAUUAGCCAACUCAUACUUAAUAUCACAUUUGGAAAUAACAUCCUUGCCUAAUAUUUCUUUACGUCUUCUAGAUCACGAUGCGCACUACGUAUAUAAAAAAAAUACGAGGCAUAACCUCCUUCCCCCCUUAGGAACAUUCGUCCUCGAAUGUUAAGUUAGCGUCUUGCAAAAACAAAUUCCAGCGAGGUCUCUCUAAAAGUUAUACCUAUCAACCUGCAUUCCGUAACUUACAGAUGCCUCACAGCUACAUAAUCUCAUAUCUAUCAAUAUAGUCAAGCUAGGAAUUGAAUUACCUGCAGGUACGGGGAACAAGUAAGGAUACUUAUUUUUCAUUUCGUCUUCCGCUUCCCAAGUCAUCUCCUCCCUAUUGUUAUUUUGCCACAACACUUUGACGGAAGCCACAUCCUUAGUACGUAACCUUCUAACCUGACGAUCAAGUAUAGCCACGGGUUUCUCCUCAUAUGACAACUCCUCUGUUACCUGAAUAUCAUCUACAGGGAAUACUCUAGAAGGAUCACCAAUACAUUUACGUAGCAUCGAUACAUGGAAGACUGGAUGUACCGCCUCCAAAUCAGAUGGUAGAUCCAACUCAUAGGCAACCUUGCCUAUCCUACGAACAAUCUGAUAAGGCCCAAUGUAUCUCGGACUGAGCUUCCCCUUCCUGCCGAAUCUCAUCACACCCCUCAUGGGUGAUACCUUCAGGAAUACCCAGUCACCAAUCUGAAACUCCAAAUCUCGACGCCGAUUAUCUGCAUAUGACUUCUGUCGACUCUGGGCUGCUAAUAAUCUUUCUUGAAUAAGCUUCACCUUGUCAACAGCUUGCUGAAUCACAUCCGGGCCUAUUAACUUAGUCUCGCCAACAUCAAACCAACCAAUAGGUGAUCUGCACUUCCUCCCAUAUAAGGCCUCGUACGGUGCCAUCUGGAUACUAGAAUGGUAGCUAUUAUUAUAGGCAAACUCAAUGAGCGGCAAGUGGUCAUUCCAGCUGCCUUUGAAGUCAAUAAUACAGGCCCGCAACAUAUCUUCUAGUGUCUGAAUAGUACGCUCAGCCUGCCCAUCAGUCUGAGGGUGAAAUGUUGUGCUAAGGUUCACCUGUGUCCCCAAUCCCUUCUGAAACGAUCUCCAAAAGUUGGCUGUAAAUUGAGCUCCUCUGUCUGAUAUAAUGGACGUGGGAACCCCAUGAAGUCUCACUAUCUCCCUGACAUAUAACCUCGCAUAAUCUUCAGCCGAAUAAGUAGUCCUGACUGGAAGAAAAUGGGCCGAUUUCGUCAGCCUAUCUACAAUAACCCAUAUAGAGUCAUACUUCCGUUGAGUGCGAGGUAAGCCUGUAAUGAAGUCCAUAUUAAUCAUCUCCCAUUUCCAAGUCGGGAUCUCUAUCUCCUGUAAUAAUCCACCAGGCUUUUGAUGUUCGAUCUUGACUUGUUGACAAUUUGGGCACUGAGCAACAAACUCUGCUAUGUCCUUUUUCAUGCCAUCCCACCAAUAUAAGCAUCUGAGGUCAUGAUACAUUUUUGUUGACCCUGGGUGAAUAGAAUAACGGGCAGAGUGUGCCUCUCCCAUAACUUGCCGUCGUAGCCCCGCAGUAUCGGGUACACACAAUCUGCCUUCAUAUCGUAACACUCCAUCAGGUGUAACCUUAAAUGGGGUCUUUUCCUUUUGAAGAGCUGCAUCUCUAUACUGUGCCAGAAUAGGGUCCUUGUAUUGGUGUCUCUUUACCUCAUCUAUGAUUGAGGACUCAGCAACCUCUCGAAUAGAAACUCCACUAUCUUCCGAAUUAGCUAGACGGACUCCAAGGCUGGAUAGCCGCUGAAUCUCCCGAACCAUAUCCCUCCCUUCUGGUUGUACAUCUGUCAAGCUACCCAUGGACUUACGGCUAAGAGCAUCUGCUACAACAUUCGCUUUCCCUGGAUGAUAUAAAAUAUCAACAUCAUAAUCCUUUAGCAACUCUAACCACCGCCUCUGUCGUAAGUUCAGCUCCUUCUGUUUAAAGAUAUAUUGGAGACUCUUAUGAUCUGUAUAGAUGUCCACAUGGACACCAUAUAAAUAAUGUCUCCAUAUCUUCAAGGCAUGAACCACGAUCGCUAAUUCCAGAUCGUGAGUAGGAUAGUUCUUUUCAUGCUUCCUAAGUUGUCGGGAGGCAUAGGCUAUAACUUUGCCAUGCUGCAUCAAUACACAUCCUAGCCCAACACCCGAAGCAUCACAAUAAAUAACAUAGCCGUCUGGUCCCUCUGGAAGAGUUAGGACUGGAGCUGUAGUCAAUUUGUCUUUUAAUAGCUGGAAGCUUCGCUCACAAGCAUCUGUCCACUGGAACUUGGCUGCCUUUUGAGUUAGCCUUGUCAAAGGCACUGAAAUUGAGGCAAACUUUUCUACGAAUCUCCUGUAAUAUCCUGCUAACCCCAAAAAGCUGCGUACAUCAAUAGGUGUCGUAGGUCUGGGCCAAGUCUUUACUGCCUCAAUCUUCUGCGUAUCUACCCGAAUACCAUCAGCUCCAAUAAUAUGCCCCAAGAAUGCCACUGAAGUCAACCAGAACUCGCACUUAGAAAAUUUAGCAUACAACUUCUGGUGCUGAAGCACCCUAAGUACCGUCCUUAAAUGAUCUGCAUGCUCCUCUUCUGAACGUGAAUAGACCAGAAUAUCGUCUAUAAAUACAAUAACAAACAUAUCAAGGAAUGGUUUAAAUACUCGAUUCAUUAAAUCCAUGAAUACCGCUGGAGCAUUAGUCAACCCAAAAGACAGCACUCUAAACUCAUAAUGCCCAUAUCGGGUCCGGAAUGCUGUCUUUGGAAUAUCUGCCUCCCUUACCCGCACCUGAUGAUAACCUGACCGCAAGUCUAUCUUUGAAAAACACUUUGCACCCUGCAACUGGUCAAAUAGAUCGUCAAUCCUUGGGAGGGGAUACCUGUUCUUUAUUGUUACUUUGUUCAACUGCCUAUAAUCAAUGCACAUCCGCAGCGACCCAUCCUUCUUCCUCACAAACAGUACUGGUGCUCCCCAAGGUGACGUACUAGGCCUGAUGAAGCCCUUUUCUAGCAAAUCCCUCAAUUGCUCUUUCAAUUCUUUCAACUCAGCAGGUGCCAUUCUAUAAGGAGGUAUAGAUAUAGGCUGGGUAUCUGGCAGUACAUCUAUAGUAAACUCUAUCUCCCGUUCUGGAGGAAGGCCUGGAAGUUCCUCGGGGAAUACAUUAGGAAAUUCAUUAACUACCGGGACUGAUUGAAGAGUCGGUGCCUCUGCCUUUAUGUCAUGCACCCAAAUCAGAUGGUAAAUAUAGCCUUUUCUAACCAUCUUCCCGGCCUUGAGGUAUGAAAUGAACUUACCUUUCGGCGAUACUGUACUUCCCUUCCACUCUAUAAUCGGUUCCCCUGGAAAUUGAAAUCGAACUAUCUUUCCUCUGUAAUCAACAUUAGCAUAACAAGCAGCCAACCAAUCCAUGCCCAUGAUAAUAUCAAACUCAAUCAUAUUUAACUCUAUUAGAUCUGCUACGGUAUGACGACUAUAUAUAGCUACUGAACAAUUCCUAUAUACUCGCGUAGCUAUGACAAAAUCUCCUACAGGUGUAGCUACCUCAAAUGGUUCUAUCAACUCAGACUCUAUUCUGAUCCUACUAGCAACAAAGGGAGAUAUAUAUGAUAAGGUGGAACCUGGGUCUAUCAAUGCAUACACACUUCGGGAGAAUAGUGAUAAUAUACCUGUGAUCACAUUAGGUGACGCCUCUUGAUCUUGCCUAUUAGUCAAAGCAUAUAUACGGUUUGAGGGACCACUAGAACUGGAAGCUCCACCACGUCCUCUACCACGGCCUGCUGGUGCCUGAAUACCCUGCCCCGUAGGGCGCAUAGCCACAGAAGAAGAUGAACCAGCAACGGACCCUGUAGGCUGUGCCAUACCACCUGCACUACCUCUAAGGUGACACUCCCUCAUAGUAUGGCCUUGACGGCCGCAAGAAAAACACGCACCUGUAGCCCAACGACAUUUCCCAGGAUGGGACUUACCACAACGAGAACACCGAGGCAAAGGUGGCCUCGACUGGCUCAAACCCCUGCCUAUCUGUGACCCUGACGCCCUAGAGCUCUGACCAGGUUCCGAAUAUCCCAUACGAUCGAACCCCCUACCCAUGAAACGUGGGGGUGCACUCUGUGCUGGCUGGGAAGAAAAUCUAACAUGCUGCUGAGACUGCCUGCUUUGAAACUCGUCAGGAUAACCUGCUGAUCUAGCCCUCUUAUGCUGGCCUCUAUUAUAAUCUCUAUCUGGCUGACGUCCCCGGUGCCGAUCCUCUACCCCCUGUGCAUAUGCCUGCACCCGAGCAAUGUCCAUACCUGGCUGAAGAGUCACUGCCAUACAACCGUCAAUCAGAUAAUGAUCCAAUCCCAUCACAUAACGAUGUACCCUAUCUGCCAUAUCAGCAGCCAAUGAAUCAAACUCGAGGCUAUACUCUCGAACGCUCCUGCCAUUUUGCUUCAAACGCAAGAAUUUAUCGACUCUAGCUCGCUUCAUCUCUGGAGGCAGGAAGUGGCCCUGGAAAGCCUCCACAAAUUCAUCCCAUACCGCUGGAGGGGCACCCUCACCCCUAGAUAACUCCCAAGACUCAUACCAAUUAAUAGCUACAUCCCGCAAACGAUACGUAGCCAACUCAACAGACUCGGUCUCCGAAGCCUUGAUUAUCCUCAAUCUACGCUGCAUCUGACGAAUAAACUCUUGCGGAUCAUCCUGUGGCCUUGACCCAAAGAACUCUGGAGGAUUACAACUUAAGAAGUCACGAGCCCUUAAGCUAUCAGAUCUGUCCGCAUGAUCAACUCCUAGUCCAUGCCUGCGAGCCUGAUCUGCCACUAAUCUAGUCAGCAAUUGAACCGCAUCUCUCAUGGCCCUAUCCUCCGCCCCUGACUGAGGAGCUGGAGGUUCAGAUGUUGGGGCCUCGGGGGCUGGUGGUGUCCCCCGAACUGGAGCUGCUGCUGCUCUAAGCUCUUCUGGCGGUGGGGGUGUAGCAGAGCUCUCCGACUGGAGCAUAAUACUAGGCAUAGACUGGGCACGGGCCCUAGUAACUCUUCGGGUCUGACUAGUACCUUCUGCUACCGAUUUUCCCUUCUGGGCGGCUGUCGCUUUCUUUGGAGGCAUAGCUGAAAACACAUGGAUUCGUUAGAGAGGGAUUAUCCUGUUAAUAUAGCUCUAUCGCACGAUCUAGAAUAAGAAGAAAGAAUGACAUCAUAAAUGUCCUGUAGCUUCCUGUUUAUAGAUGUGGUGCACAACACACCGAUAAACAAGACUCUACUAGACACGGUCUGUAGACACUUUCGAGGAAGAACCGCUCUGAUACCACUCUUUGUCACGACCCAACCCGAUAGGCCGUGAUUAGUGCCCGUUUUGGACACCCACAUACAAACCUGCUAAGUAUGACCAACUGAAACUAAGACAAUAUGGAAUUUAAUCAAACCAAGCCAACCCCAACGUCAUAUAUAUAUAUAAGAGGACCUGUCUCAUAAGGAGUCAUAACCAUUCAACCAUAACAGCAUACGCGAGCCGACAAGGCCGCCACUAUUCAAAGCAUAAUGAUGUACACAGCCGACAAGGCUGCCCCUGUACAAGCGGACAUCCCAAACAAACCAUGUCCAGACCAUUAUCCAAAACAUAUAUAUACAACCCACAUAAUGUCCACAGACCUCUAAGGGUACAUUAGUGAAACUCGACGGGACAGGGCCCCGCCAUACCCAUAGACGAGCAAAAGACUACACAAAAGUUAUGUACCAAAAUGAAUGGGCUCCGGAACAGUGGAGCUCUCCCAAUCAGCAGAGUAGAUAUCCUAGGCGGGAGGAUCACCGAACUGCGCGUCUACACCUGCGGGCAUGAAACGCAGCCCCCCAAGGAAAGGGGGGUCAGUACGGACAAUGUACUGAGUAUGUAAAGCAUAAGGUAAAGAUGACAGGAUACCAAUGUGGCAACUCGAAACAAAAUAUCGCUACACAUAUACUUUUUAAGUGAAAAUCAUGCAUAUAUUUAACAUUUAAGGUGCCCAGCUUCCCUAGUAAGGGGCUCGGCAAAAUAAUCAUCACGUCAUCUCCGUCAUCAUCAUCAUCAUAACCAUCCUCAUCACCAAUCAUAUAUAUAAUAUACAUACCCGUCCCUCUAGUGAGGAACUCGGUGACAUAUGCAAGAAACUCCGCACGAACAUUACCCGGCCCGGGACUCGGUGAAAUGAUAAAUGACUCUAUGCACGAGCAGAAUAUUAUGAGCAACCAUAUGCAAUUAAAAUCAUUUCUUAUAACUCAAUAGAACAAUCAACGUGAACCAGCAAGGAGUAUUACCAAAGAUUAAUGUUUUAUCAAGAUUAUGAACCUUUAAUACGAUAUGAAAACGUAAAAUUUCAAUGACUCUAAGAAGCAUUACCAUAGAUAUUAGAGAUCAUCAUAGCCUUAGACAUAACCGAUAUAUAGAGGAAUAAUUGUGGAAGCAAGAAUAUACAUCACCUAGAUGCUUUAGAGGUAAGUAUCAAAUCUGUCCGUUAUUCGCUUAUUUUUAAAAGUCAUGCCAAGCAAAGAAAGAAGGGACAGCGUUACAUACCGUAUAAUCGAGCCGCACGUCCAAUAUUUACUGCUCAAGCUAUUAAUCUAUAACAAGCAACAAUCGUGCCGCAAUUAGAUAAACAUCGUGCUUUACUUUCUUGUAAGCUAGCUAAUAAUCUAACGAAAAUUCGGCAGCACCUCCCCUAUUUUCCUUACUUCGUCCCAAUCCGACAACAAUCCAAAUUAUCCACAACAAUACCAAUAACACAUAUAACCCAAAGAAUCAUAUUAAACAGCCCUCUCCCCAAAACAGUUCCAUCUCGGCAACUAUAUCAGCGAAGCAACGACACACCGAGUGAUAACUCGUUUUAUAAUUCGUAACACAUCUACCUUAUCGUAUUCAUCCUUUGGAGUAUAUACUCAUAAUCACAUUCAACAUAUACAUAAUGCCAAAACAGAAUUUUCCUGCAGUUUGCUUUAAUCAAAACAGCCCAAGCACCAACACGACACCACUAAUAAUCCGAUUAUGGUUUCCAUUCAUACUUAGUACAUUCAAUAACUAAAACAAACUUCCUAAGCUACUGGUCACGCCCCCUUCUUAAAAUUAAUGGAUAAUUAACAAGGGUAUUCUAAAGAAUUAACACACCAAACAAGGAGAUUACUAACCAAAUUAUUUGCAGCUGCUGGCCAAGAGUUGCAGGGUUGGUUUCUCCAUUUCCAUGGCUGCCUAAGACAAGUGGUGAAGAAGAUGAUGAUAUGCAGCAAUGCAUUUCACCACUUUAUAUAGCAUGGAGUGGAUUUCUCCACCUCAUUUAAUAGUAUGAAGUGGAGGCAGCCCCCCUCUACACCUGUCCACUAAGGCCAGCCCACAAUCUGAUCCCUUUUUAAUUUUUUUGCCUUGAGUGGUGGGGCCCAUUGAAUUAAAUCAGUCCAAAUUAGCCACUAAUUAAUCCCUCACUUAAAUUUAAUGGCACUUACAUUAGCCAACUCAUACUUAAUAUCACAUUUGGAAAUAACAUCCUUGCCUAAUAUUUCUUUACGUCUUCUAGAUCACGAUGCGCACUACGUAUAUAAAAAAAAUACGAGGCAUAACACCUAGGGUUAAGGGUUAAGGGUCAUCUUCUACAAACAAGAUGAAACAAUCAAGUUAUAUCAUAAUAAAGUUAGAAUAAAUAUCAGUCGAUUCAUAUUAUCCAAUAGAAAAGACAAACACACUAAUUCAUAACAUUAUUUUUGAGAAUGAGAAAGACACACAUAAAAACUCAUUUUUUGAAAACACUUUGAAAAAACCCUUUCAGGAAAGAGGUCUGAAGGUGAAUUAGAUGCUAUACCUCAAUAUUUGAUGGAUAAAUUAUGGUGAAAACAUCCCAUUACAUACCCCAAAACUCCCCCUAUCUUAGUCUUUAAUGGUGUCUUCCAAUAAGGAGAUAAAGAAGAGAGAAGGAUCACAAUUUUGGUUUCUGAGUUGUAAUUAGACUAAUGGGGUUGGGGUCUUUAUAUGGGUGGGGUGGGGUUAAUAAAGUUAAUUACUCUUUCUUAAUCAUAAACAACCACAAAACCUCAAUUAUUUUUGUAAAACAAAGUUAAAACAAUCUCGGAAAAUAGGACUUUUACAGAACUGAUCCCGUCGACGGUUUGUAUGUGAGUCGAUGACUAGUCCCUCCUCUAUGCUGCACACUUGUACAUUUGGUAAGAGACUCUGCAAAUGAGGGACUCCAACAACUUGGGUAAGUGUUGGUAUACAGUUAUAAUUGACGCCCCAUCGAUCAACACACGCCCCCGUCUAUGCCGUUUUGUUGGUGAACACUGUUGAGGCAGUGUUUGACUCAACCUGCAACGGUCCUCCUCAAGAGCCCUUGGUUUGUCCUUGGGUAUUCGUACCCAGACUUUUAGACUAUGAAUCUACUUAAACAUAUUUUAGACACUCUUCCACCAAUUUUCAUCAUUUUCCUAUUUAGAGGUCCAUGUAAACCUCCUUGCUAUAUAAGCAAACAUUUUUACUUUUCUUGUAUUUUAUUACCUAUGAUGUGCUAUAAUGAAUACUAAGGGAUUGUUUUAGUACUCAUAGAGGAUGACGACACCGAUGAGAACAAGGGUGUACUUUGGGUCGUUUCAAACAUUGUAUCAGAGCAUUAGGUUAAAGUAAAUCAUAGGAUUGAUGUCUCACUAAACCACGUCCAUGAGAGACUAUAUGAUGUUUAGCAAAUAUCACUCUAUAAUUAUUCCUUAUUCAUGCCUAGGAGUCCUAGAUCCAUUUAGUCCUUUCUUCUUAUCUUUUUUUUGUCCUUAUAGGCAAUGGAUAGAAGGAAGAACAAUGCUCAAAGGGACAGAGGGAUAAUUUGAAUGAGGCGGUUCCCCCUCAACUCCUCAAAACCCUCAAGUUCCUAAUGAAGAUGGGGAUAUGUCUAAUGAUGAGAUAAGGUAGACCACUAAUAGCUUGUCUCAAAUGUUGGCUACCCAUGAUUCUUGGGAUGCACGAGUAAAGUGAAUCCCAAUUCUAACACUAUCGCAUAAAGGAUUAGGGAUUUCCCUAGGAUGAAUCCUCCUACUUUCUUUGGCUCUAAGGUAGAGGAGGACCCACAAGGGUUCAUUGAUAAAGUGUUAAAUGUUUUUGAUUUUAUGGGUUUUUUUAAGAAAAGGAGGAACUAGUCGUCUUUCAAUUCAAAGACAUAGCUCAAAUUUGGUAUGAGCAAUGAAAGGCUGAGAGGCCUCUUAUAGAAGGCCAAAUUUCUUGGGGAUCUUUGAAAAUGGCUUUCCUUGAUAGGUUAUUUCCCUUGGUAGUUAGGAAGAGAAAAAUAAAAGAAUUUAUCAACCUUCGUUUAGGGUGUAUGAGCGCGAAAGAGUAUAGCCUCAAGUUCACUCAACUAUCUAAGUAUGCUCCUACUAUGGUUGCGGAUUCUAGAGAUAAUAUGAAUGAAUUUGCUAUGGGUAUAGCCGAUCUUGCGGUUUAUGAGUGUAAGUCGGAUAUGUUCAUUCCUAGCAUACACAUCUCUCUUCUCAUGGUUCAUGUCAAAAAAAUUGAGGAGCAAAAGCUUAAGAGAGUUGGUAGGGAGUCGAAGAAGGUAAGAACCGAAUAUGGAAAUUCUUCCAUGGCUAAUUUUGAGGUACCAGACAAACCACGGUUCAAAAGGAGGUGUUCAAACUAAGGCCAUUCUAAUUCUCCAAGGGUUAACAAGAUUAAGGUGACUACUCCCAAGCCCCAAGAGGGGAAAGGUGGUAGAUCUUAUGUUGAGAAGCCUCUUAGUGCAAAAUCUGAUAAGAGACAUGAUGGUAUGUGUCUUGAUUGCACGGGAAAUUAUUAUGGUUUUUUAAAGAGAGUGGUUAUAUGAAUAGAUAUUUCCUUAUGAUGAAGUCUCAAGGAAGGGAAAAUUCUCAAGCUCAAGCAAGUUCCCCAAACUGCUUUAAUCCUCUGCAAUCCCGAAGUGAUCAAGAGAGCUCACCGGACGUGUUCACCGUUAUGUUUAGAUUUUUUUUAUGUAUAUGCUUUGUUGGAUCUGAGAUAUACGUUGUCAUUUGUGACCCCUCUUGUAGCCAUGAAAUUUUAAAUUCCACCCGACAUAUUAGAGAAACCUUUUUCGGUUUCUACCAGGUAGGUGCUUUUGUGGUGGUUAAUAGAGUCUGUAAAGAUUGUCCUAUUUCCUUUCCUAAUAAGGUUACAUUAGUUGACUUGAUAUAACUUGAUAUGCUAGAUUUUGAUGUCAUAUUGGGAAUGGACUGGUUGCAUGCUUAAUUUUCUUUUAUUGAAUGUAGGACAAGGGUAGUUAAAUUUAAAUUUCCAAAUGAACCCAUUUUUAGUGAAAGGGAGGAAAAUCAAAUCCUAGGGGAAAGAUUAUUUCAUAUAAAAAAUCUUACCAAUUGAUUGUGAAAGGUUGUCUCUAUAACAAAGUAAGAGAUAGGAAUAUUAAAUUCAAAGUACCUUCUAUAGAUUCGGUACCUGUAGUAAGGAAAUUUCCAAAGGACUUUCCCGAUGACCUUCUCGGAAUUCCUCUCGAAGGGGAGACAUACUUCAGAAUAGAUUUUUUGCCAGAUACACAACCUAUUUCCAUCCCCUCCUUAUCGUAUGUCCCCAGCCUAGUUAAAAGAACUAAAGUCUUACGGAUUUGCUACAAAAGGGUAUUAUUCAACCUAACUUAUCUCCAUGGUUUCCCCGAUAUUGUUUGUGAAUAAGAAUAAUGGUUCUUUGAAAAUGUAUAUCGACUUAAUUGAGAAAAGCCACUAUAACGAAUAUGUACCUGCUCCAUAGGAUAGAUCACUUUUUUGAUCAACACAAUGGAGCAAGCUACUUUUUGAAAAUUGACUUGAGGUCGGGUUAUCAACAUAGAGUGAGAAAGGUUGAUAUUCCAAAAACAACUUCCUGAACAUGAUAUGGCCGCUUUAAGUUUCAAUUGAUGUUAUUUGGUCUAACAAAUGCCCUGGCAACGUUCAUGGACCUUGUGAAUCGAAUUGUUAGAAAGUAUCUUGAUUUGUUUGUGAUUAUCUUCAUUGAUGACAUUUUUAUAUACUCUACGAGUGAGAAUGAUCAUAUAAUACAUUUGAUGAUAAUUUUGAAUGUUCUCAAGGAUAAAAAACUUUUUUCUAAGUUUAGAAAGUGUGAGUUAGGGUUGAGAUCGGUUGCAUUUCUUGGUCACAUUGUCUCUAGUGAAGGGGUGGUGGUUGAUCUAACAAAGAUGAAAGUGGCCAAGAGUUGUCCUACACCUUUGACUCCUACCGCACACAAUGUUUUCUAGGGUUGGCCGAUUUUUAUAGGAGGUUUGUUGAGGGAGUUUCGUAUAUCACAUUGUUAUGCCUCGUAUUUUUUUUAUACGUAGUGCGCAUCGUGAUCUAGAAGACGUAAAGAAAUAUUAGGCAAGGAUGUUAUUUUCAAAUGUGAUAUUAAGUAUGAGUUGGCUAAUGUAAGUGCCAUUAACUUUAAGUGAGGGAUUAAUUAGUGGCUAAUUUGGAUUGAUUUAAUCCAAUGGGCCCCACCACUCAUAAUUGGUGGCUGAUUAGGAUUAAUUUAAUCCAGUGGGCCCCACCACUCAAGGCAAAAAUUAAAAAGGGAUCAGAUUGUGGGCUGGCCUUAGUGGACAGGUGUAGAGGGGGGCUGCCUCCACUUCAUACUAUUAAAUGAGGUGGAGAAAUCCACUCCAUGCUAAAUAAAGUGGUGAAAUGCAUUGCUGCAUAUCAUCUUCUUCUUCACCACUUGUCUUAGGCAGCCAUGGAAAUGGAGAAGCCAACCCUGCAACUCUUGGCCAGCAGCUGCAAAUAAUUUGGUUAGUAAUCUCCUUGUUUGGUGUGUUAAUUCUUCAGAAUACCCUUGUUAAUUAUCCAUUAAUUUUAAGAAGGGGGCGUGACCAGUAGCUUAGGAAGUUUGUUUUAGUUAUUGAAUGUGCUAAGUAUGAAUGGAAACCAUAAUCGAAUUAUUAGUGGUGUCGUGUUGGUGCUUGGGCUGUUUUGAUUAAAGCAAACUGCAGGAAAGUUCUGUUUUGGCAUUAUGUAUAUGUUGAAUGUGAUUAUGAGUAUAUACUCCAAAGGAUGAAUACGAUAAGGUAGAUGUGUUGCGAAUUAUAAAACGAGUUAUCGCUCGGUGUGUCGUUGCUUCGUUACUAUGGUUGCCGAGACAGAACUGUUUUGGGGAGGGGGCUGUUUAAUAUGAUUCUUUGGGUUAUAUGUGUUAUUGGUAUUGCUGUGGAUAAUUUGGAUUGUUGUCGGAUUGGGACGAAGUAAGGAAAAUAGGGGAGGUGCUGCCGAAUUUUCGUUAGAUUAUUAGCUAGCUUACAAGAAAGUAAAGCACGAUGUUUAUCUAAUUGCGGCACGAUUGUUGUUUGUUAUAGAUUAAUAGCUUGAGCAGUAAAUAUUGGACGUGCGGCUCGAUUAUACGGUAUGUAACGCUGUCCCUUCUUUCUUUGCUUGGCAUGACUUUUAAAAAUAAGCGAAUAACGGACAGAUUUGAUACUUAUCUCUAGAGCGUCUAGGUGACGUAUAUUCUUGCUUCCACAAUUAUUCCUCUAUAUAUCGGCUAUGUCUAAGGCUAUGAUGAUCUCUAAUAUCUAUGGUAAUGCUUCUUAGAGUCAUUGAGAUUUUACGUUUCCAUAUCGUAUCAAAGGUUCAUAAUCUUGAUAAAACAUUAAUCUUUGGUAAUACUCCUUGCUGGUUCACGUUGAUUGUUCUAUUGAGUUAUAUGAAAUGAUUUUAAUUGCAUAUGGUUGCUCAUAAUAUUCUGCUCGUGCAUAGAGUCAUUUAUCAUUUCACCGAGUCCCGGGCCGGGUAAUGUUCAGGCGGAGUUUCUUGCAUGUCACCGAGUUCCUCACUAGAGGGCCGGGUAUGUAUAUUAUAUAUAUGAUUGGUGAUGAGGAUGGUUAUGAUGAUGAUGAUGACAGAGAUGACGUGAUGAUUAUUUUGCCGAGCCCGCUGGGCACCUUAAAUGUUAAAUAUAUGCAUGAUUUUCACUUAAAAGGGUAUAUGUGUAGCGAUAUUUUGUUUCGACUUGCCAUAUUGGUAUCCUGUCAUCUUUACCUUAUGCUUUACAUACUCAGUACAUUGUCCGUACUGACCCCCCUUUCCUCGGGGGGCUGCGUUUCAUGCCCGCAGGUGUAGACGCACAGUUCGGUGAUCCUCCCGCCUAGGAUAUCUACUCUGCUGAUUGGGAGAGCUCCACUGUUCCGGAGCCCAGUCGUUUUGGUACAUUACUUUUGUGUAGUCUUUUGCUCGUCUAUGGGUAUGGCGGGGCCCUGUCCCGUCAAGUUUCACUAAUGUACUCUUAGAGGUCUGUGGACAUUAUAUGGGUUGUAUAUAUAUGUUUUGGAUAAUGGUCUGGACAUGGUUUGUUUGGGAUGUCCGCUUGUACAGGGGCAGCCUUGUCGGCUGCGUACAUCAUUGUGUAUUGUGUAGUGGCAGCCUUGUCGGCAUACAUAUGUUAUUAUGCUUUGAAUAGUGGUGGCCUUGUCGGCUCGCGUAUGCUGUUAUGGUUGAAUGGUUAUGACUCCUUAUGAGACAGGUCCUCUUAUAUAUAUAUGACGUUGGAGUUGGCUUGAUUUGAUUAAAUUCCAUAUUGUCUUAGUUUCAGUUGGUUAUACUUAGCAGGUUUGUAUGUGGGUGUCCAAAAUGGGCACUAGUCACGGCCCAUCGGGUUGGGUCGUGACAAAGAGUGGUAUCAGAGCGGUUCUUCCUCAGAAGUGUCUACAAACCGUGUCUAGUAGAGUCUUGUUUAUCGGCGUGUUGUGCACCACAUCUAUAAACAGGAAGCUACAGGACAUUUAGGAUGUCAUUUUUUCUUCUUAUUCUAGAUCGUGCGAUAGAGCUAUAUUAACAGGAUAAUCCCUCUCUAACGAAUCCAUGUGUUUUUAGCUAUGCCUCCAAAGAAAGCGACAGCCACCCAGAAGGGAAAAUCGGUAGCAGAAGGUACUAGACAGACCCGGAGAGUUACUAGGGCCCGUGCCCAGUCUAUGCCUGGUAUUAUGCUCCAGUCGAAGAGCUCUGCUACACCCCCACCGCCAGAAGAGCUUAGAACAGCAGCAGCUCCAGUUCGGGGGACACCACCAGCCCCCGAGGCCCCAACAUCUGAACCUCCAGCUCCUCAGUCAGGGGUAGAGGAUAGGGCCAUGAGAGAUGCGGGUCAAUUGCUGACUAGAUUAGUGGCAGAUCAGGCUCGUAGGCAUGGACUAGGAGUUGAUCAUGCAGACAGAUCUGAUAGCUUAAGGGCUCGUGACUUCUUAAGUUGUAAUCCUCCAGAGUUCUUUGGGUCAAGGCCCCAGGAUGAUCCGCAAGAGUUUAUUCGUCAGAUGCAGCGUACAUUGAGGAUAAUCAAGGCUUCGGAGACCGAGUCUGUUGAGUUGGCUACCUAUCGUUUGCGGGAUGUAGCUAUUAAUUGGUAUGAGUCUUGGGAGUUAUCUAGGGGUGAGGGUGCUCCUCCAGCGGUAUGGGAUGAAUUUGUGGAGGCUUUCCAGGGCCACUUCCUGCCUCCAGAGAUGAAGCGAGCUAGAGUCGAUAGAUUCUUGCGUUUGAAACAAAAUGGCAGGAGCAUUCGAGAGUAUAGCCUCGAGUUUGAUUCAUUGGCUAGGCAUGCACCUACUAUUGUGGCUGAUAUGGCAGACAGGGUACAUCGUUAUGUGAUGGGAUUGGAUCGUUAUUUUAUUGACGGUUGUAUGGCAGUGACUCUUCAGCCAGGUAUGGACAUUGCUCGGGUGCAGGCAUAUGCACAAGGGGUAGAGUAUCGACACGGGGACGUCAGCCAGAUAGAGAUUAUAAUAGAGGCCAGCAUAAGAGGGCUAGAUCAGCAGGUUAUCCUGACGAGUUUCAAAGCGGGCAGUCUCAGCAGCAUGUUAGAUUUUCUUCCCAGCCAGCACAGAGUGCACCCCCACGUUUCAUGGGUAGGGGGUUCGAUCGUAUGGGAUAUUCGGAAGCUGGUCAGAGCUCUAGGGCGUUAGGGUCACAGAUGGGCAGGGGUUUGAGCCAGUCGAGGCCACCUUUGCCUCGGUGUUCUCGUUGUGGUAAGUCCCAUUCUGGGGAAUGUCGUUGGGCUACAGGUGCGUGUUUUUCUUGCGGCCGUCAGGGCCAUACUAUGAGGGAGUGUCACCUUAGAGGUAGUGCAGGUGGUAUGGCACAGCCUACAGGGUCCGUUGCUGGUUCAUCUUCUUCUGUGGCUAUGCGCCCUACGGGGCAGGGUAUUCAGGCGCCAACAGGCCGUGGUAGAGGACGUGGUGGAGCUUCCAGUUCUAGCAGUCCCUCAAACCGUAUAUAUGCUUUGACUAAUAGGCAAGAUCAGGAGGCGUCACCUAAUGUGAUCACAGGUAUAUUAUCACUAUUCUCCCGAAGUGUGUAUGCAUUGAUAGACCCAGGUUCCACCUUAUCAUAUAUAUCUCCCUUUGUUGCUAGUAGGAUCGGAAUAGAGUCUUAGUUGAUAGAACCAUUUGAGGUAGCUACACCUAUAGGAGAUUUUGUCAUAGCUACGCGAGUAUAUAGGAAUUGUUCAGUAGUUAUAUAUAGUCGUCGUACCGUAGCAGAUCUAAUAGAGUUAAAUAUGAUUGAGUUUGAUAUUAUCAUGGGCAUGGAUUCGUUGGCUGCUUGUUAUGCUAAUGUUGAUUGCAGAGGAAAGAUAGUUCGAUUUCAAUUUCCAGGGGAACCGAUUAUAGAGUGGAAGAGAAGUACAGUAUCGCCGAAAGGUAAGUUCAUUUCAUACCUCAAGGCCGGGAAGAUGGUUAGAAAAGUCUAUAUUUACCAUCUGAUUCGGGUGCAUGACAUAAAGGCAGAGGCACCGACUCUUCAAUCAGUCCUGGUAGUUAAUGAAUUUCCCGAUGUAUUCCCCGAGGAACUUCCAGGCCUUCCUCCAGAACAGGAGAUAGAGUUUACUAUAGAUGUACUGCCAAAUUCCCAGCCUAUAUCUAUACCUCCUUAUAGAAUGGCACCUGCUGAGUUGAAAGAAUUGAAAGAGCAAUUGAGGGAUUUGCUAGAAAAGGGCUUGAUCAGGCCUAGUACAUCACCUUGGGGAGCACCGGUACUGUUUGUGAGGAAGAAGGAUGGGUCGCUGUGGAUGUGCAUUGAUUAUAGGAAGUUGAACAAAGUAACAUCAAAGAACAGGUAUCCCCUCCCAAGGAUUGACGAUCUAUUUGACCAGUUGCAGGGUGCAAAGUGUUUUUCAAAGAUAGACUUGCGGUCAGGUUAUCAUCACGUGCGGGUAAGGGAGGCAGAUAUUCCAAAGAUGGCAUUCCGGACCCGAUAUGGGCAUUAUGAGUUUAGAGUGCUACGAUAAGGUAGAUGUGUUGCGAAUUAUAAAAUGAGUUAUCGCUCGGUGUGUCGUUGCUUCACUACUAUGGUUGCCGAGACGGAACUGUUUUGGGGAGGGGCUGUUUAAUAUGAUUCUUUGGGUUAUAUGUGUUAUUGGUAUUGCUGUGGAUAAUUUGGAUUGUUGUCGUAUUGGGACGAAGUAAGGAAAAUAGGGGAGGUGCUGCCGAAUUUUCGUUAGAUUAUUAGCUAGCUUACAAGAAAGUAAAGCACGAUGUUUAUCUAAUUGCGGCACGAUUGUUGCUUGUUAUAGAUUAAUAGCUUGAGCAGUAAAUAUUGGACGUGCGGCUCGAUUAUACGCUGUCCCUUCUUUCUUUGCUUGGCAUGACUUUUAAAAAUAAGCGAAUAACGGACAGACUUGAUACUUACAUCUAAAGCGUCUAGGUGACGUAUAUUCUUGCUUCCUUAAUUAUUCCUCUAUAUAUCGGCUAUGUCUAAGGCUAUGAUGAUCUCUAAUAUCUAUGGUAAUGCUUCUUAGAGUCAUUGAGAUUUUACGUUUCCAUAUCGUAUUAAAGGUUCAUAAUCUUGAUAAAACAUUAAUCUUUGGUAAUACUCCUUGCUGGUUCACGUUGAUUGUUCUAUUGAGUUAUAAGAAAUGAUUUUAAUUGCAUAUGGUUGCUCAUAAUAUUCUGCUCGUGCAUAGAGUCAUUUAUCAUUUCACCGAGUCCCAGGCCGGGUAAUGUUCGUGCGGAGUUUCUUGCAUAUGUCACCGAGUUCCUCACUAGAGGGCCGGGUAUGUAUAUUAUAUAUAUGAUUGGUGAUGAGGAUGGUUAUGAUGAUGAUGAUGACGGAG
rnacentral:lncRNA from 1 species